ACCUAGCCCCGAUUGUAACGGCAUCCUUUUUUUUUGUUAUUACGUGGCUGAAUGUUUUAAUAAAUGGCUUCACUUUGUUCGCAAUAACAAAAAAGAUAUAGUUGAAAGCGGGAUUAAGC
rnacentral:sRNA from 1 species